ACGGCCGACGACAAUUAGAGGCUUCCCAGCAGGAUGAAUCAAGGGUGGUGGCAGCUUAACUGGUGGAGUCAGAGUUGGUGGAGAUGGUGUUAUAAUAGGUGGCUGAUCCGUUGGUGGUGCAGGCUCAAUAAUUGGUGGCUCGUAAUCAGAAGGUGGUGGCUCUACGGUUGUAGGCUCAUGAUCAGAGGGUGGAGCAGGUGGCGAGUCAACAAUUGGGGGUUCAUCAUAAGUAGCUGGUGGCGGAGGUGAUGAUCUAAUAGGUGGUGGAGGUGGCUGAGUAUAUGCUGGUGGUGGUGGUUUCCUUAUUGGUAGCUGAGUAGCUGGUGGUGGUAGUUUUGGUGGCUGAGAAAGUGGCGGUGCCCGUUGCAUUGCCGGUGGUGGUGUUGCUCGUUGCGUUGCUGGUGGCUGAGCAGCCGGUGACGGAGAUGGAGGUUUAAUAGGUGGCUUAGCAGAUGGUGGUUGCUUUGCUGGUGGCGGCGGAGGUGGAGGUGGUUGUUUUGGUGGUUGAGAUGGUGGUGGAGGCAGCAGAGGAGGUGGUGACUUAGCUGGUGGCGGCGGUGGUGACUUAGCAGGCGGCGGAGGGGAUGACUUAACCUGUGGUGGUGGUGAUGGUGAUGGCUUGUUUACCGGUG
rnacentral:lncRNA from 1 species